AUGCAAGUCGAGCGGCAGCGCGGGGGCAACCCUGGCGGCGAGCGGCGAACGGGUGAGUAAUACAUCGGAACGUACCCAGGAGUGGGGGAUAACACAUCGAAAGAUGUGCUAAUACCGCAUACGCCCUGAGGGGGAAAGCGGGGGACCGCAAGGCCUCGCGCUGUUGGAGCGGCCGAUGUCGGAUUAGCUAGUUGGUGGGGUAAGGGCCUACCAAGGCGACGAUCCGUAGCUGGUCUGAGAGGAUGAUCAGCCACACUGGGACUGAGACACGGCCCAGACUCCUACGGGAGGCAGCAGUGGGGAAUUUUGGACAAUGGGGGCAACCCUGAUCCAGCCAUUCCGCGUGAGUGAAGAAGGCCUUCGGGUUGUAAAACUCUUUCGGCAGGAACGAAACGGCGGGCUCUAACAUAGCCUGUCAAUGACGGUACCUGAAGAAGAAGCACCGGCUAACUACGUGCCAGCAGCCGCGGUAAUACGUAGGGUGCGAGCGUUAAUCGGAAUUACUGGGCGUAAAGCGUGCGCAGGCGGUUUUGUAAGACAGCUGUGAAAUCCCCGGGCUUAACCUGGGAACUGCGGUUGUGACUGCAAGACUAAAGUGCGGCAGAGGGUGGUGGAAUUCCACGU
rnacentral:rRNA from 1 species